CAGGGCUGAGGUCUCUGGGGAAGGCAGAGCUGUGGUCUAGAAGAAGAUGGCACUGCUGGGUCUUCUCCUGUGUCUGGUGACAGCCCCCCAAGGUGUCCUGUCCCAGGUGCAGCUGCAGGAGUCGGGCCCAGGACUGGUGAAGCCCUCACAGACCCUGUCCCUCACCUGCGCUGUCUCUGGAUUUUCCAUCACAACCAGUGGUUACUGCUGGAGCUGGAUCCGGCAGCCCCCGGGGAAGGGACUGCAGUGGAUCGGGGUCAUAUGUGACGAUGGGAGCAUAGCAUAUAAUUCGGCCCUCAAGAGCCGCACCUCCGUCACCAGAGACACAUCCAAGAACCAGUUCUCCCUGCAGCUGAAAUCUGUGACGACCGAGGACACUCCCGUGUAUUACUGUGCGAGGGACACAUCGGAGCUCCUGUCCCUGGUGUGA